UACGUAGGGUGCAAGCGUUAAUCGGAAUUACUGGGCGUAAAGCGUGCGCAGGCGGGGAUGUAAGACAGGUGGGAAAUCCCCGGGCUCAACCUGGGAACUGCAUUUGUGACUGCAUCGCUGGAGUGCGGCAGAGGGGGAUGGAAUUCCGCGUGUAGCAGUGAAAUGCGUAGAUAUGCGGAGGAACACCGAUGGCGAAGGCAAUCCCCUGGGCCUGCACUGACGCUCAUGCACGAAAGCGUGGGGAGCAAACAGG
rnacentral:rRNA from 1 species